CUGUGUUUAUAUAAGCCCAGAUCGUGGCACAUAGCAGGGCCCUACAUUCAGGCAGCAGUAGAGUUAUCUACACCAGAUGUAAAUUUGAUAUGGGUUCAGGCAAGCAGAUAUUUCAGAAGAAUUUUAAAGAAGAAUUUAUUCCACAUAUAGCUAUAUUACAAGUAUUUACCCUGCUGAAUUGAACUCCAGCCAUCUUCACAAUUUCUCUUUAAGCUAGUGCAGUAGCCCUUUAUGAACCCCAAAUGUUCCUCGCUCUUCUGUGGCAAGCACUUUGUGAAUUGUUUAUUAGCUUGGAAAACUGUUUCUGUCUCUCAGGACAGGCAUCAGUAGAAGAUAUCUGGGAUGAGUACUCUAUGAAGAAAGUACCUUUAUGCCUUAGGAACAGACGAACUAUUCUAAAUGAUCCAGCGCUACGAACCAUGUUGAACCGAAGACCAACAAAUGUUACCUUCCAUCUCUUCUAGUGACUUUAGUGUUGUCUUCAUUAUCAUCGUCUGUUCUCCCUUGCCAAUUCAGUCAGCAGUUUGCCUCCUGUGCUACAUACCAGCUGACAGAUGUAUCCUUUUCAUUUCACAUACUUUUAAAGCCUUGGGCACUGCUUUCUGGAGAUAUUUAUACAGCUCUGGGACCCAGUUGCUGGAAAAGUAGUUUGUACUGAAUAUUUGUUACAUGUUCUACAAGAUCCCACACACUCUUACUUUGCAUAGAAUAAAACAAAAAAAAAGGUGCUGAUGCUUUGUAUGUAUUUUGUAUGAAAUAUAUACAGUAGACUUUGCA